rnacentral:tRNA from 1 species
AGGGAGACCUAAUUCCGGUAGGAGACGAAAAAAAAGUAGUCCCUACCAAGAAUCAAUCCCAAAAGGUCGGAACGAGGUAUGAGGCUUUCAAACUAGGUUCUGGGUUCAUAAAAGACCUGAAUCAGGAACAAGGGCUAUUAGCUCAGGUGGUUAGAGCGCACCCCUGAUAAGGGUGAGGUCCCUGGUUCGAGUCCAGGAUGGCCCACCUGCACAGGUGGCAAAAACAAGAGAAGCGAGGAAUCAGCACCUUAUCUUAUAUACAUAUAUAAGAGAGAAUGCUGGCUCUGAGUACAGAGUCCAGAGGAACCUUGAAAACUGCAUAGAGCUAGGUGAAAAAGCCAAAAAAGAAGACCGCAA